rnacentral:rRNA from 1 species
AGAGUUUGAUCAUGGCUCAGGACGAACGCCGGCGGCGUGCCUAAUACAUGCAAGUCGAGCGAAUUGAUGGGAGCUUGCUCCCUGAUAUUAGCGGCGGACGGGUGAGUAACACGUGGGUAACCUGCCUGUAAGAUUGGGAUAACUCCGGGAAACCGGAGCUAAUACCGGAUAACAUUUUGAACCGCAUGGUUCAAAAUUGAAAGAUGGUUUCGGCUAUCACUUACAGAUGGACCCGCGGCGCAUUAGCUAGUUGGUGAGGUAACGGCUCACCAAGGCAACGAUGCGUAGCCGACCUGAGAGGGUGAUCGGCCACACUGGGACUGAGACACGGCCCAGACUCCUACGGGAGGCAGCAGUAGGGAAUCUUCCGCAAUGGACGAAAGUCUGACGGAGCAACGCCGCGUGAACGAUGAAGGCCUUCGGGUCGUAAAGUUCUGUUGUUAGGGAAGAACAAGUACCAGAGUAACUGCUGGUACCUUGACGGUACCUAACCAGAAAGCCACGGCUAACUACGUGCCAGCAGCCGCGGUAAUACGUAGGUGGCAAGCGUUGUCCGGAAUUAUUGGGCGUAAAGCGCGCGCAGGUGGUUUCUUAAGUCUGAUGUGAAAGCCCACGGCUCAACCGUGGGAGGGUCAUUGGAAACUGGGGAACUUGAGUGCAGAAGAGGAAAGUGGAAUUCCAAGUGUAGCGGUGAAAUGCGUAGAGAUUUGGGGGAACACCAGUGGCGAAGGCGACUUUCUGGUCUGUAACUGACACUGAGGCGCGAAAGCGUGGGGAGCGAACAGGAUUAGAUACCCUGGUAGUCCACGCCGUAAACGAUGAGUGCUAAGUGUUAGAGGGUUUCCGCCCUUUAGUGCUGCAGCUAACGCAUUAAGCAC